rnacentral:rRNA from 1 species
AAAACUUUCAACAACGGAUCUCUUGGUUCUCGCAUCGAUGAAGAACGCAGCGAAAUGCGAUAAGUAAUAUGAAUUGCAGAUUUUCGUGAAUCAUCGAAUCUUUGAACGCACAUUGCGCCCUUUGGUAUUCCAAAGGGCAUGCCUGUUUGAGCGUC